AGUGACGGGUACACUGUGGGACCGCCGCUGCUAAAGCGGAGGAAGGAAUGGGCAACGGUAGGUCAGUAUGCCCCGAAUAUCCCGGGCUACACGCGAGCUACAAUGGUUGGUACAAUGGGUAUCUACCCCGAAAGGGGACGGGAAUCUCCUAAAACCAAUCUUAGUUCGGAUUGAGGGCUGCAACUCGCCCUCAUGAAGCUGGAAUCCGUAGUAAUCGCGUUUCAACAGAACGCGGUGAAUACGUCCCUGCUCCUU
rnacentral:rRNA from 1 species